ACCUCGAUAGCGCAGUGGUAGCACGCGUCCUUGAUAUGGGCGAAACAUGGGUUCAACUCCCGCCUGGAGUC